AAGGCCCUUUCUAAGGAAGGAAGAAAAAGGGGGAGCAGAGCAGACUAGAGUAGAGUGCUGGUGUCAGCUCCUGCACCACUUCUGGGAAUCCCAUGGCUGCUACUACAAAAAGCUCCAGCUACUGAGCCGGUCUCUUAGGGAAUUCAAGUGGAAAGAAGUUAAGCUACAGCGGGAAAUUGCCUGACUUGCUAAAAUGGGCUCCAGAAACCUACAAUACGCAAUGAUUAACGCCAUGAUACUACCUAUUUGAGACAAACAACAGUGCUCUUCACAAGCAGCUCAGAUUCCUUGACGUGUUCUCAUUUUAUUUUUUUCCUGCAAUAUUGUCUUCAGACAUUCUGUUUUAUUUGUGUCACUUGUCAUAGAUUAAUGAUUCUGCAGCUCUGAAUAAUUUUAUUACCUACUACUGUGUAUUGGCACUAAUGAAUUACGUUAUUUCUGCCCCAUUAUUUAUCAGUCUUCAGUACAAUUGAGACACAACCUAUUGGUACUUGAAAAAUGUUCUGCCACUUCUUACAACUUGAACUGUAUUUUAUUACCAUGGUUUUAGACCUUAAACUUUCCUUGAUUUAUAUGGUUCAUAUGAUGGUACACUUCUACAUCCCUGAGAGACUGCUGAAGAACUCUUUCAUUUGGAAAAUUUACGGAUUAUGAAACAUUUAAGAGGCUGUCCAGAUUUCCCCAAUGUGUUUUCAUCAACUCCAGUGGUGAAGAAAUGCACUCAUUCCCAGAAAUGUUUUUUGGAGUAAUUCUCUCUCUAUAUAUUCAGAGAUGUAUACUAGAGCUGGUGUGCACACAUAUGUCUUGUAGGUACCUUGAAGCCAACUGAAUUAUUAAAUAGGAUGAAUUUAUAGGAUCCAUCUGGAUAUUUAAAAACCUGAUAAUUAACCAAGUUCUUUCCCCUCAAGAUUGACCUUUCUUGUUCUAUUCAGAUGUCCUGUACUUGUACUUGCUGCAUAUCAUUGUGUACAGUAACAGCUUUUUGCUUGUUCAGAAAACUGGAACUUCACUCAAACAUCAGUUACCUAGCAUUUCUUGUCACAUAUGACCCUUCUUAUGCCAUGAACAUGUUUUGUUUUUCAGUCUGAAUUUAAAGCAAAAAGCCUUUAUUCUGCAUUUAUAUUGGUGUGAAGAAAGGGAAUUAAUACAUGUGUAUGUAUAUAAUGACUUCACAUCUGUAGCUAAAUUGGUCUGAAACAAUAAGGAUCUGUUAUUUUUACUGGAGCAGGGGGAAAUAAAUAAAUUCCACUGCCACUGUAA